UGCUUGGCGUUCAUUUUUAUUAAAUUUACAAAAACAUACAACAUCUGUGAAGUAGGCUAACUUGAAGACGACAUACUGUACCAAAACCAUAACUUCACCAGAGCAUAGUUUUUACUAUGGUAACCAGCGCAAACUCAGCCACUAUAGCUGUCAUGUGCAGAUCCCCACAUGGGUGUACACACGGUUGGUGGAUCUUUCUUGUGCAGUUAUGGAUUACGAGGCACAUUUUGUGUAACCGACGCUUAACGAGAAGCCUUGUGGAGAUGACUCAUCUACAACAUGCCUCGUGAAAUGUUUGUUCUCGUGUAGUUGACCGAAAGGAAACAAAGGUAAGCCAUUGUUUUCAGUUGAGCAUGAUUUACAUUUUAAUGUUUUAGCAUAUAGGGAAUUGAAGCAACUAUUUUAGAGGCUUUUUUCUAAAUACAACGUUCUAGAUUUGUUUUCAUUUCCCCCUUCACAUUCUCUUAGCGCUGACUUCGCUGACAGUACACAAAUUAUGCGGGAAUUAUGCGAGAUGUCCGUUUGUCGGUCGGCGAGACACGCGUUUUGGUAAACGUUUUAAUUUUACCACGGGCCCGGACUUCGCUAUACUGACUUAAUCCAUUAAUUUGUCAAAAAUAAUUUCGUGGAGCUAGCCUAUAUGAAAUAGCCUAAUAUGUUAUUUUGGAGUAUAUUCAUGUUAAGCAUACAAUGUUGAGUAACUAUUAUUAUCCUACUUAUUAACCGUUUCAAAGGAAACGAAACAGUGCAGUGAUAAAUUCAUUAGCAGUAAAGCUAACCUCAAGCCGCAUGGAUAAAGAUGAAUAUAUAACUUCGGAAUUAAGAGGGUAGCGCAAAAGAUAAAAACCACUAACAGGCUUUGCGAAUGUGACUAGGAUCAAAUCAAUCAUGCAUUUGACUACCAGACAAAUUCGUUUUAAAAACGAACAAUGCAUUCAUACAUGUGACAAAUAAUUGAUUCCACUCAGUAUUCAUAUGGGAUUUUAGCUUGACACCUUUGAAGACAAAUGCAUUUUACAAAGUAUGAGAUAAGAAAACGUUAGACUGGAACAAAGGGAAAAAAAUAAAAACUUCAGUUGGUGCCACCUAGGGGCAUCACUAGAAAUGAAUGGAUAGGUGGGGCUAAGCCUCGUUUUGGGGGGUGUGUGUGUGUCAGGGCCUGGGCGGAACCCAAAAGCAGACACGUAGUGACAGUGAAGGGUGAUUAAAUCGACAGCAAGAUGUAGGUGAGUAUGGAUGGAGUGCUGGCAGGGAGGAUGGCGUGCAGACGGUUGCAGGUGUCCAGGUAGACAGGAAGAUGAAUGCAGAUUAGGGCGUGGUAGCUGAUCUGGUCCUGGAGGCAGAAUCCAGGUAAUCCUGUGACGGAACGGAAAACAGGUUGGAACAAAGCAUAUAACGAACAGGUAAGUGAGACUAAGCAUACAAAGUACGACUAACGAUCCGGCAGGGACGAGACGUCAGGGCUCGGCUUUAAGUGCUGCCGGUAAGUGGUGGGAUCGGGAACAGGUGCCUGAUCAUCAAGGGGAAACAGCUGGCACCGGCAUCACCCCGGAGUUGACGCCACGCCCCCUAACAGGUUGCCAGGACACACACUCAAUCACGGGGGCGUGGCGUCAACUCAUAUUUUCAUCAUGUAUUUUGAGAGUAGCAACGGUUGUAAAAUGUAUUAAAAUAAAGUUAUAUUUUGUGAAGGUUGGCUAAAACUACACAGGUCUCAUAGUUUGUGUAAGACACUGUUCUCAUGAUUUAAAUUAUAUCCAAAUAAAGAAACUAAAGUCCACUACAUCCAACAGCAACUAAAGGCACAUAAAAACUGCCAAAAUACUUUUGUCAACAAGGCCUAUAAUUAGUAGUAAAUGAACAUCUACAUAUAUAUUCUAUAUAGGCUAUUCAUCUCGGGAAGGAGGUCAUUAAAAAAAGAAACAUUUAACAACCUGAUCUCGCUUUCUCUGAACAGAAUACGUUGAAAUACCUUAACUUCAAACCCAAACAAACAUACAUCUGUGAAAUACGGAUAGUUUUGCAACGGUGUUCAGUUGAAAUUGAAGAAUUGGAUUUAACUAAUCUAUUAUUGGCAUAUCCAACCACAAAUUUGAAAAACGUCUUGUACCGAG
ensembl:lncRNA